AAAUUUCCUAUAAGUUGUGUUUUUGCUUUGAUUCACUGGUAUUACAGUAUGAAAAGAGUAUUUUGUUAUAUACAAAAAAGUACGGUGGCCGAGACGGCUCACAUGAAUGCAAAAGCCACAACACAACGACAAAAGCCGAAGCACGAAGACAAACGCCGAAACACGACGGCAAAAGCCGAAGCACGACGGCGAAAGCCGAAACACGACGGCAAAAGCCGAAACACGACGGCAAAAGCCGAUACACGACGGCAAAAGCCGAAACACGACGGCAAAAGCCGAUACACGACGGCAAAAGCCGAAACACGACGGCAAAAGCCGAAAUACAACGGCGAAAGCCGAAACACGACGACAAAAGCCGAAACACGACGGCAAAAGUCGAAACACGACGGCAAAAGCCGAUACACGACGGCAAAAGCCGAAACAUGACGGCAAAAGCCGAAGCACGACGGCAAAAGCCGAAAUACGACGGCAAAAGCCGAAGCACAUCGACGAAAGCCACAACACAACGGCAAAAGCCACAGCACUACAGCAAAAGCCAACACACAACGGAAAUGAAUUACAACAGAAGUUUCCGGUUUUCCGUACAGCGGUUAUCUAAAGGAGGAGGUGAUAGCAUCUCCGGCUAGACGAGCCCAACCGGCUGCCGGUUCACGACUCUCCCAGAGCAGCUCCCUUUAAACCAGACGACGCAUUCCUUCCAGUUAAAUGCCCUCACACAGCUUUGUUGUUUUUGUUUUUUCACAAGUCUUUCUCAUGUUUGACUUUUUUUUCCCUUAACUCACUCUAAUUUCUAACAUUUCAGAGCGCCAAAACUGAGCGAACCCAGAAGAGUGAGGAUUCUCCUGGAAUAAAAAAGUCCACAAUGCCGUUCAGGACUGGACUUCCUCUUCCUGUAACUUUUCUCUGCAGUCAUGAGUUUGGCUGAAACCAAGAGAAUCAGGCGGAUCAGGCUAAACUUGUCUGAGGCGCUGCUCCGUGUUUGUCCUUUUAACACCUGAAAUCCCAUCAACAGCUGAUGAAAGUCCCACAAAAGCAGCAGAACUUUCAGAAAAUUCCUGCUUUGUUCUCUGUGAGAACUUUCUGUUUAAUCUGUGCAGGUUUGUGUCUCAGAGCCUUUUUUCUUUCCUAGUUUGUUUUUUUUAAGUUGUUUAAUUUUGUGUUUGUCUGUCAUUUGUUCGAUUUUUUUUUCUGUCUUUUUGUUUGAAGCUUUUUUGCGUUUUUAAGAAGCUGCCUUUUGUUUUUGAAUAUUCGGCCCGUGUUGCUAUUUCUUGUUCUUGUUUGUCACUAUUUGUUGUUUUAUUUUUUUUUGUGUGUUAACAAAUUUUUGUAAACUUGCGAUUUGUUGGAGAAACUAUGAAACAUACAAAUUACAUUCUAAAUUGCUUAUUUUUCAUUCUGUACAAGCCCCGCCCCCUUAAAAAAACAAGUGAAGAAAGUUGAUUUUAGCAAAAAAAAUAAAAUAAAAUGAAAAAAUUAGACUCUACGAAAUAGGGAAUCCAGAAAACUCGGCGGUUCUAGGUUCAGACCGGCAGGCUUUGGGCCGCUCGGAGGCCCGUUGGUGGCGGCGGCGGCGGUAUCGGUGACAGUUAGGAGGAAAAGGGUUGGAGCGUUACUCAUCCACCCAAACUACUCCAACCGCCCGGGUGGCAUACCUCUCAUUCAGCCCUGCUGCACCACUCCCCGCUCUCCUCCGUCCAUCCAGUCAGCUGCCACCCACUUCAUUCU
ensembl:lncRNA